rnacentral:rRNA from 1 species
AUUGAACGCUGGCGGCAUGCCUUACACAUGCAAGUCGAACGGUAGAGUAGCAAUACUUGAGAGUGGCGAACGGGUGAGUAAUAUAUCGGAACGUGCCCAGUCGUGGGGGAUAACGUAGAGAAAUUUACGCUAAUACCGCAUACGAUCUAAGGAUGAAAGCGGGGGAUUCGCAAGAACCUCGCGCGAUUGGAGCGGCUGAUAUCAGAUUAGGUUGUUGGUGAGGUAAAAGACUCACCAAGCCGACGAUCUGUAGCUGGUUUGAGAGAACGACCAGCCACACUGGGACUGAGACACGGCCCAGACUCCUACGGGAGGCAGCAGUGGGGAAUUUUGGACAAUGGGCGAAAGCCUGAUCCAGCAAUGCCGCGUGCAGGAAG